AUGAACUUCCUUGGGUUUGAGAUUAGUGAAGACGGCUACCUGAAUAGUCGUACCAAAUUUGGGUGUCAAUCAGAUUGGCCAGAUCUUCUGAGAUAUGCUAGAAAGCUAGAUGUUUCCAUUGAGUUCAGGCAAGGAAAGGCUGGAGUAAUUAUUAAUGGUGAAUUUUUUGAUGAAGGUGCUCCACUUCAGAAGUUGCUAUUCAAACAGACAGUUAAUCGAGAUUUGCAAAAAGCAAAGCAAUUGUCAGUUCAAGGCCCCUUUCUCUGCAUGACUGAUGUUCAGUUGAAAUCCUCCCAUUCAAUUUUUUACAACUGGAAAGUAAGUGAUUUACUGGUGAAGUUUGCAAUAAAAGCACGGUUGAGUCUACUUCCAACAAACUUCACAAAGCAUGUAUGGAAUCGUGAUAAUGACCCUUCUUGCCCCUUUUGCCAUCAGCACACGGAAAGUGUCGCACAUCUGAUGAAUGGAUGUAGAGAGUUUCACAACUUUUAUAGUCGACGUCACAAUCGAAUUGCUGACAAAAUAUUUGAGGUGAUCUCAGGAAGUAUAAUUGGUUUCCAGUUUCAUGCAAACAAACUUGCAGAAUCAAUAAUAACGGAAUAUGGUGAUGAAUUACAGCGUAUUACGCAUCGUAAACCUGACAUCAUUAUCAUUGACAUUCAGUCACGUAAAUGCAUUAUCUUAGAGGUGACUGUCUGCUACGAUCUGUAUUUUGAGCAAGCACUGAACACCAAAGAGAAACGGUAUCAGCCGCUAUGCAGUCUGCUGCAGUCGUUAGGUUGGGAGGUGGAUCUGAAAGUGCUUUGCUUUGGCUCUCUUGGUUGCAUAAAAAAGGAUGUUUGGACUGUUAUGAGAUCAUUGUCAGUAGAUAAGUUGAUUGUAAAGAGCACAUUACAGUGGUGCUCGAUAUCAAAUUUGAUAAUGGCCAACUAUAUAUGGAGACACAGGGUUGAGAAGUUGUUCAUGUGAAUCUAUUUUCUCUCAGCCCUUGCGUAUGAUCAGAUACAAUAAGUUCUAUAUUACAUUUUCACAUUGGAUGAUUUCUAAAUCUUGUGUCUCACAGUUUAUAUGAAGUUAUUAUGUAUGUAGUGGAUAACACAAGCCUAGUAAACAUACCUUUCAUGUUAACUGAGCUUUUAGCUCGGACACUAGGGCAAAUACGAAUAUAUUGCUAUUAUUAUUAUUGCUAUUAUUUUAAUUGUUAUUAUUCUCAAUAUAAUCGGCACAUGUCUCUGGCAUAUGCAAUUUGUCAUAAAUAAUGGCAUAUUGCAAAAUUGGUCGGCAAUUUACAAUGCGACAUUCAAUUAGACAUUUGAUUAGACAUUUGCCUACUCGUUUAGACAUUCGGAAAAUUUUGGUUCCGUGUAGAAAAAUUAGAACCGUAACAAAAUAAAACGUUGCAUAAAAUCGAAUCGAAAACUCAAUAUCAAAGUUGGUUUCAGUAAACAAAGAUUCUGAGGCGAGUCUCUCGGUCCUCUAAAAACAUUUUCAAUGUGUCUAUGAAAACACUUAGGCCCAGAAUUAGACAUUCACGAAACUUUCACACAUUCGCGAACAAAACUCUUUUUCUAGAGAACCCACUCACAAUCAGAGAAACAUGAAAGGCAAGUAAAAAUAUAGAUUAUCAAGCUAUUCUCACCUGAAAUAUUUUCCAAUUCUGUUGCGAUUUAUAAAGAAACAGAUGCAACAUGUCCCAGCACUUGCCUUACUGUUUAGGCAAAGAAAACGUUUUAAAACACGAGUGUUUGUAACCAAAAAUCUCCUACAGUUCUGAACGAAAUCCGAGGAAACUUCACAGAAUGACUUGAAACAACGUAUCUCAUAUGUUUUUGAGGGUCUCUUGAUGUUUUGACAUUCUGGGGUAAAGUUCCAGAUUUCACCCCCAUACUGAAGCCUUAUAAAAGGCUAAAAACUGGUGUUUGUAACCAAAAAUCUCCUAGAGUUCUGAACGAAAUUCGUAAAACAGCUAAUCAUAAUUUAUUUACAAAAUGCAAUUUUUCCCUGCAUGCUUACAGUUAGACUGUAUGGGAACUCUACUGAAUCAUGGAAUGAGAUGGCAGGUCUACUCCCUGAAAACAAGAUGGCUUGCCUAAGGGUAAAAGUUGUCCUUCCGCAUGUUGUAAGGCCACAAAGAGUACAGUGUUUGUUGAUUCACUAGAAGAAUAUAAUUUGCCUGUCGAGAGUUUGUAGCUUAAAUUAAACCUUUCCAUGACAAAGCUGGUAAGCUGUUCAGGGAAAAGGAAAUAAUAAACAAAGUUGUCUCGACUGUCACCAAACAAUCUUGGGAUUUCGUACACAUAUUCCGUUAAGUAAUCUUCCCCAAUUAUUGUCUUUCAACAGAUACCUAUCCAGUAUCAAACAACCGCCAGAUUUUUGGGGAGUACGGCUAAAUUAGAUUUAAUUAUAAGGUUUUAUGCAUUUAUACAGGUUGUUGUAAAAGAGGAAAAUUUCUAUGCGUGAAGUAAGAAAAAUUUGCAUAAUGAACAAGGAAGGAGUUGGAGGAAUAAGUUCGAGUGUUGGUGAUGGAGAGAGGUCAAAUGUUGAGGAAGAUGAGAGAAUUGAGAACAACUGGUGGUUGUAUUUUGCUUGUAUUCGUUUGUAUUUGAGAUACUUGCUUAUUAUUAACUUGUAUAUAUUCUUCGCUCACUCUUUCCAAUUCAAGACGUUGUUUACAAAGACAUGUUGUUCUUGAUGAAUCACAUUCUCUGCGAGGAAUCAGAGUAAAUUGUGUAUUCAUUCACGAUAUUUUAAGGAAUCAUAACAUGGUGCCAUGACCUGCAAUCUUGGCUGGUUUGAGUUAUUCAAUAAUUUAUGGCGAGUGUAAAAGAAAACUUAUUACUAGAAGAGGCCUACGAGCCAGUUUCUAACAACUUGCAGUAGCCGUACGCGAAUUGCUGGAAAACUACGUCAGUUUGGUUCAGGAUAAACUUGUUGCAAACGGAUUGCAUCUGGAAGAAACACUGCGAGACUUGAAAUCCAUAGAUGCCAAAAUUAUUGAUUUUAUACAGGAGGAUGAACUAACUAAGUUAAACAGUGGAUGAACUAACUAAGAAUGAUUAUGAGCGAAAGGAAUGGAAGAGAACAGUAGCAAGGCUAAUGUCUUGAAUUAAGACGGAAGAGCCAGUAAGAAGAAGAAAAAGAUACAGGAGGAUGAUAUAGAGACAAGACGUUGACGUUUUAGAGAGUUCGGGGUUCGCUCCUAAAUCCUCAACUUUGCGGUUAAUUGAGGAUAAGAGUGGAUAACUGCCUUGCAGAGGUAGACUGGAAAAUGCGCUGUUACCGGUCGAAUCGAAAUUCCUUGUACUGAUUCAAAGCGACAGCCAUUUAGCCAUGUUGCUUGUUUUACAUGCACACAAGAGGGUAAAACACAACGAUGGAAACAUUGACGGAACUGAGAUCAAAAUUUUGGAUUGUAAGAGGAUGCCAAUUGGUAAAAAGCAUAUUGUCGAAGUGCUGUACGUGCAAGAGAAUAGAGGGUAGAGGCUAUGAAAUACCAACAGCACAGAGGGUACGAAAUGCCAAGUUUUCCUUUAGAAAGUGAUUUUGCCUUUCUAAGAAUUGGAGUAGAUCUUGCAGGUCCCUUGUUCGUUAAGAAAAUUUAUGGAUCUGAUGAAAAUAUGCACAAGUCUUACAUUUUGUUAAUAACCUGUGCAGUAUACAGAGCUAUACAUCUCAAGCUUAUUCCGGAUCUUGGAGUAGAGUCUUUCAAACAGGGCUUAUCUCGUUUAACAGACAAGAAGAGGCCUUGCAAUUCUUAUUAUAAAUUUUGAGAAAUGCGAAGCUACAUUAUAAGAUAUUGAUAUCUUUAAACAUACUGUGAGAGUGGAGAGAAGGUUUGAAGGAAGGCUUCCCUGUUAGCAACAUGAUUGAUGCAAAGAUGCGUAAUUUGCUGUCUCUUGCACAACAGGCAUUUUUAGAUUCCAAUACUUAACCUCAUAAAAGCUUUGUUUUUAUUUUCUAUUCAAUAGGAUUUGUAAUACCUAGCAACAAAUUCAUAAAUAUAUAUAUAUUUGUGUCCACUUGCUCCCCCCCCCCCCUCCUUUUCAAUACCUUGUCGUAUGUAGGCUUGUGCCAGUCUUCCCUAACAGCUGAUGUUUGAACAGCUAAUGCUACUCAUGCCUUUCCUUGUCUGUAAAAGAGUUAAUCAAAAUUUGCAGAUUCCUGUGAUCAUCCGAUAAACUGAUGAUGUUGUUUCUAUGACUUAAAUAGAGAAAACUUUCCAAAAAAUGUACGGAAAGUAUUCUUGUAAGAAUCUUUUGUGGUUUACUGGUAAUGUGGUUUACAAGACCCUUGAGUGUCGGUUCUUUGUAUUUAUUGGCAUCCAGAAAAAGGGUCUUUGUAAAAAUGCAGGUUAUCUAAUAAAUUGAUGAAUUUUUGUAUUUGCAAAUCUCACUUUCUUGGUCAUAUUGACUGUAUACAUAAUAUAUAUAUAUAUAUAUAUAUAUAUAUAAUAAUAAUAAUAAUAAUCGAAUGUUUAACAGGAUAACCUAUCAGUACAAUAUAUACUGUUAUCAUUAGGGUCCUGAUACUUAAUAAAUUAAUGGUAAAAGAUCCAAAAACGGAUUACAAGAGUUCAAUACAGUCCAAUCUAAAGAUAAAAUAAUUUUACAUCAAAUAAAAUGAGUUUCUAAAAAUCGUCUAAAAAUAGUUCUAGAUUUAAUCUUUCUUGCAUAUAGUGGCAAGUCAUUAAAUUCCUUUCCUGCCUGAUAAUAAAAACCUUUGCGUAAUAUAUGUAUAAAAAACAAGUAAUAUCGAAUAUCAAAAAAGCACGCUUCAGAUUUCUCUGUCAAAAUGUGGUACUUUCCACAGUAGCAUAACAAACUAAUUCAGCUAAAAAAUUAAGGGCCCCCAAGCAAAAAAAUUGUGCUUGCUAUCUUAUUUUGAAGUUGGUAUUCUGGAUAUGAUAAACGAGUGCAAGGGGGCCAAAGCCGGCAUGGUUUAUCGGUCUAAAGUCUAAAUUAUUUGGAUAGUAUAUUCGGUAUCUAUUGAUGCUCUGUCUUUACUGUUCAAAUUUGUAUCUGAAUUUUAUGCAAUAAUUAUUAUAGGAACGAGUUGGACUUUCUCUCAAAGCUGCUUUACAGAGGGUUCUAUGCUUUCGAAGCCAUUACAACGUGAAGCUUGGAUGAUGUGCUUGGUGGAGUAUGUGGUAUAGCUGGUGAGGUUUACUAUGGCGAGGGAAAUGCAAAAAACUGUUGUUCAUUGUAUGAAGUAAGAAACCUUUUAUUCAUUAUUUCAAUUUGACAAGAAAACAAGCAGAAACUCAUUGUCAAUCAGUACAUCAUAAGAAUUUUUAGUAUAAUGUAACUCAGAGGGGUGGGAGCAUAUUUGUGGUCGUUCAAAGGACACAUACAAUUGAUAUGCAAAAAAGGCCAGCAAAAAACUACAAUGAUAAUGAAAUAAGAUAAUUAAUAAAAUGAGAUUUCUUUUCUGUAGUUUUUGAUGAAAAAGCAUAAUCUUUCUAUUACUUAGGUUGGACCAAUAAGCAAAGCCGCUUCUGCCGAAGAGGUUCCACUAGAAGACUUUCUUCAGAUUGUCAAGCUUCACAUCGUUGAAAAAUCAACUUUCGCGAGCAACUAUCAGCUAAAGUUUCGUGUCCCUUUAAAUAAAAUUCCUCCAUUGAUUAGAAAGAGUCAACGCAAGCAAGGACUUAACACAGAAGCUGGAAAGAAGAGCAUAUAUUUGAAAGAAAAUUUUCAUGGAAGUGAAGGUAUAAAAAUUUACUUUUUGUUGCAGGCCUUCAUGAAUAUGACCAUCCAAUGAUUAUUUUGUUUUUGCAAAAUAUUUUGUUUUUAAACAGGGACUCCUCCAUUUUUUGUUAAACAGUAGAGUUUUGUGCGAAAUCAUUUGCUAUUAAAUCAUUAGCAUUGCCCAUUGAAAAAUUCUUCAACUCUUUUGUACAAAAUUUUUUACCUCUGGACUGUUGUGCUUUACAUCUGCAGGACCAUUGUGAUUGACAGCAGCGUCUUCGAGUCAAGAAAAGUCUUCACUGAGACUGUUACUGCACAGUUUGGCAGUGCCUUUGUUGUCAAUGGGGCCAUUACCAAAGCAGACCUAUCUGAUUAUAUUUUGCAUCUUAAAGAUCAGUAUCUACGAGGUGACCAACAGCAAAGUUUUAAGAUUGCUCACUUCACAGGUCUUGUGGAAAACGACUACUGGUACCUUUCUCAAGAGGUUAGACUUUACAUGAAGUAUCUACUACUUGAGGCUUAAGUAUUACGAAUCAGAACUUAUUCUAGGCUGGAUUUAGUCCUUUUGUUGGAGAUGGAAUUCAAAAUGCGGAGCUGGAUAUGAAAUUCUGUGGGGUUGGAAAAUUUAAAAAUAAAGAGAAAUGUUUUUUUUUUUUAAUUAUUUUUCUUAUCAUAUGGCGUUGUAAUAAAAAAGUUUGACUGUACUGAUGCUGGCAAGGUUUCUGAUUGCAAAUGUGGUACAAAGGCAAUACCUCUAGGAUACAGCAGGUUACAACAGAAUUUGCUGAUUAGCAGUAUGAAUUUACACGAUUGCUUUUAUGUAUCUAAUUAACAUGUAUCUUUUUGCAGUGUCAAAUAUUCAAAGGGGAGCUCCUAACAGAGAAAAAAGUCAAAUAUUUUGGACAGGACAGAAUUCCUAAAUCGAUGACCUUAAAAAAGAGAAGCCUGUGCUUAAUAACUUGGCAUCAUGCUUAGAAAUAAACAGAAGGUACGUCGAGGGAUGUCAGAAGGGCCAUGUAGACAAAGCUUUAAUUUUAUCAGGGCAAUAACAAAAUUUGUUCUUCAGGCCCUUUUUCCCCAUCAAAAACCAUGAAAAUAUUAUAAACAUAAAUGGUGCAUUGUUCAGGAACCAAGGAAACAAUUCUUUGUCUGGGUUGCAGUAAGCUUUUCAACAUUAAUUAUCUUCGUCUUUGCUUACCUGCAAAAUCUUUUGCUAUUGGUCUGUAUUAAUGUUAACAAGUUUCUAUGUAUCUAUAACUAACUGGUUCAUUUGAUGUUCAUAGCUAUAAAAAAAACCUUAGAGAGACUACUGUGUUAAAACUGCCAACGAAAUGACUAACUGAUGUUGUAAAUACCAAUUUAUUUCAUCUUGCUCUUCUCUCCAAAAGGUUUCAAGAAAGUUUGAGCUCCUUUAAAGCAAACGAGCAGUCAAUGAUGAAAAUGGUAUUCUACCAGUUCAUAUGUUUCCAUAACUUUAGCAGAAAAAUGUACAAAUAUUAAUGAUAUUAAUGAUUAUUAAUAUCAUAUUAAUCUGGAAAGCAACUUUCCUACUGUAUAUGGGUUCCUUUCAAUAACGUUAUCAUACAAGCAGGUUUAUAGAUAAUAUUAGCCAUGAAUUCACAGGCGUACUAGAGCGACAAAAAUUUGGGAAGCUGGCCUGUUGUAUUUAAAAAUUUCAACUCGAUUUUUUUUAAAUUUUUGCUAAACUGACAUCUCGUUUUGAUGAUUUUCUCCAAUCACUAAAUCGAAAUUUCUUUAUAUGCCAUUUCUACCUCCAGGUGAAAGCAAAUUUGCCAUGCUCUAUGGUAAGAAAAUGAACACGGGGAAAACGCUGUCGCAGGUUCUUCUACAUUUUGGACAAGGUGCCAAUACACGUCAACACAAAUUGAUGAUUUCUGGUGGUAACCAAACCCAAUGUGGUACUUCAGUGUAUGUAUACGAUAAAUUCAUUUCAAUGGUUUCAGGAAUCUAAGUUAUUUUUUGUUUAAAAACAUCAUAAAGGCAUUAUUCGAAUUUGGUUCUACUUAGUGGCAUAUCGUCCUUUUAAGAUUCAAUUUCACAUAAACCCAAUAGUUUCUCGCACAUGAAACCUACUUUUUAAAUCGAAUAAAGCCCUGUACUAAUCAGAAAUACUUGUCCAGAUCCGGUGGUUAUAGGAGAGUUGCUAGAAAUAUGCUUGAAAAAAGUCCCUUGUUUUUGUCGAAUCCGAUUAUUUUUCACUAUAGCAAGUUUAAAGUAGAAACUAGCUAAAUGUUUUUAUUACCAAUUAAAAUUGGUUUUCUUGCAGAAAAAUAAUGCUAAAUCUUUAGAGAAAAAAACGAAUUUAGUACAUUUUAUCAACAAUGUCAAAUCGACAGAGCCGUUUGACGAACAUCUAUUGGCCUACCACGAAAAGCUUUACCAAGGGUCGUUGUCACGGGGUCUUGAGAUACCAGAAUCUUCUGGAAUAUUGAUAUCUUCUAACGAGCCUGAAAGUGAAAGUUAAAAAAAUGUUUAAAACUAUUAAUUUGGAAGUUUUAUGUAUGACUUGAUGAAUGCAUAAAUGCGUAAACAAAUAAAUGAAUUAGCUAAAAAGUUGGAAAAACAAGCUACUCAACACACUGAGAAAUUAUUCAUUGGCAAAGGAACAAACGUAUUGAUAGACGACUGAAUGGGAUAAUCAGCGAAUGAAUUUAUUUAUGAAUAAGUGUUCUAAUAAAUGAAUGAAUUGACUGAUCAAUAAGUGCAAAUGUUUCUCAUCUAUCUACUUCCAACUUAUUUAAAUCUUAUUUUGUUAUACUAUUGCAGACUCCGCAGUAGAGUGCUACGGAUAAGGUAUAAAGGAAAUGUAUCCUUUGGUAACAAGGACAGAGAAGCCUUGGAAGCCCUUAAAGAAUUCACGCUGAAAUAUGAAGUAAAUUCAAGUUGUUUAUUUAUUAUUUUUUUUCAAGAAAAUCCAAUAAACGAAUGAAUUUUCAAUAAGCAUUAUGCACACAAAUAACUGGAUCAAAAAAAAUUUCAAGGACAAGUGACACGCUUUUGGCGCCAAAUUUUUUCUUCUUUUAACUUAAAGUAAAAUGCUGUAUGAGAGUGCUGUUGAAAUAUUUUUCCUUUCUGAUUUAAUUUUCCUACUUAAAAACCCUUUUCAAAUUAUGGCGGGAAAUGAAUCAUGUGACACUGUGACGUAGAUUGUGAUAAUUUGUUAUUGCUGCUACUGGUAUACAGUGCAAUAUUAAAGUUUACAACACGCUUCUAAACUAAUUCAGUUCGUCUGGACCUGUCGGGUCGUGUUUCGUAAACUCUCUAUUAAUGUCAGGAAAAUUCCGAGUUAGCACAAUGUACAUCAUAGGGUCACGUGAUACAAAGGUCUGGUUAUAAACAGGUUUUGUUUGUAACACACAAGGCAGCAUUUUAUUCAAAUCCAAGGGAAGUUAUUUCAUCAAAAAGUUUUUGCGAAAAAAUUCCCAAUGUUAUUGUUGAUGAAGUGCAUUGCAUCUCUCACUGGUAAAUUACAUCCUUAUCACCAAAGAAUGUUUGGAGAAGCACUGGCCAAGUUUGAUUUGUAAAACUAUGACUUUCCAAUUAUGGCCCUAGUAAACUUUAAAUUAAGAACUGUCCAUAAAAAGUAGUGAGACUAUUUGAUGAAAAUAUUUUGCAGACAUUUGUAGAUAGCUAUUAUUUAUAUUUAUAAAACUAUGUACCAAAUCAGGUGGCACAAGUCCUUUAGUAGCGUUUUUAUGUAAUAUCUUAUUCAUCCAAUGCAAAUGAACCUAAAUUUAGAAUUUUUGAUUUAUUUUAAAAGUUGAAUAAACAUAUCACUAUAUAAUAUAUAUGGUUUAUUUGUAAUUGCGUAUUCGUUUUGGGUAUUUACCUCUGCUAACAUAUAUCGUCAGUGAAAGUAAAAUCUUAUGUCAUUACAAAUAGGCUUAUUUUGUAACAAGUAAAUCAAACAUCUAUGCUAUCAGUAGUUCUAUUAACAUUAAUAACUUGAAUUUUUCUUUGCAAUCUGUUCUUUGCCAGCCAUUGUUAUUGUGCUACUUACCCAAAAUGAUAACUAGCCCCAUCAUGAAAGGAGGGAAAAUUUCACUCAUUCUCAGCCCCUCAAUGAGGUGAAUAGAAUACUCUAGAGGAACAACACAAUAGUGUGGAAGUGAUUUCCGCAGAGUCUCAUUUUGCAUGGCAACAAAGUUUUCAUGUAUACAUUUCGAAGUUCGAUUGGAAAUGGUUGUAUUGUGCAUUGUUUUGAUUGUCAGAACCCACAAAUUGACAAGAAAAAGUUGUGUCUAAACAGGGAUGGAAGCCAGGCAGAUCGCUAUAACUCUAAAACAGAAACAAGCCACGAUGGAGCUAGUCCUAGCUCCAUCUCAUUUCAUUGGUUGGUUUUAGUUACAACUCUCUUAUAGCAUUUUCGUAAAUCUUCUUUACCCAUGUUAAUAAAACAAAAUGAAAUCAUUUCUGGAAAAGAAAUUUAACUAUUGCAAUAUUUUUCUAGGAGACAAUGAAUUAAUUCGAAGGGGUUAGCAGGGCCUUCUCCACGAAUUUGAAAGUGGGGGGGCUAAGGCUAGCAAAAGUAGGGGGCCAAGGUUUUCUUCUCUUUUACUGCAGCUUUGAAACUAUUUGAUCUACAAAAAGGUGGGGGAUCAUGGCCCCUCUGCCCCCCCAGGUGGUGUCGGCCCUGGGUAGUACAUGUGGCCACAGGUGGACAUGGGGCUAUAGCCAGUCUAAACCGCAAAAUUGGAGAGAAAAUGUUGAAAUCUUGAUAUUUUCUAGAGAUUUGUUGGAAAAUUAAAUCUUUAGCUCUCAAAAAAAACAAUUCCAGCCUCUGAUGUGCCUGGCUGUGUCCUUGAAGCUACAAAUAUAGUCUAAUUAGCUCAUUUUGGAUCACUGGCACCCAGAAAUGGCUUCUUUCUCACAAAUGCACAAACCAAUUCAUCCCCUAAACCUUCCAUUAAACAAUUAUUGCAGCCAAAUCAACCUAAUUCACUUUGAAACUGAUCUUCCUUUUCACAAAUGCACAAAUCAAUCCAUCCUCCAAACAUUUAAUGAAAUGAUUAUUGCAGCCAAACCAACCUAAUUCUCUUUGAAACUGUUCUUUAUUUUACCUCAUUGUAACUGGUCAGAAUUCUCUCUCGGAAUAUCAGGAAUGGUAAGGUCAACUUUGCAGGCAAUGUUAUUAAUAAAAUGCAAAAUACAUUAAGCAACGUUAUUAAUAAAUUAAGCAUUAAAGUAAUGCAAAAUACUUCCUUCAAGUGUGUAGUUUAUUGAGGACCCUGUUAACAAUUUUAUAACAUUUAGAUAUAUAACAUUGUCUGAUCCUCUGGAGGGGGGCUACAUUCAAAAGUCCUGAAUUUCAUAACCUUACUUCUGUAUUCUCAGUUUAGAUUUUUAAGUUUAUAGCCACCCUAAUUAAGUUCUUAUAAUUUGGUACUUGCUACCUACGGCUUGCACAGCUAGAUUCCUUGGAAAGGAGAAGAGGCAAAAACUUUUGAUUGCUGCUGCGAGGCGUUGGAAACGGAGCCCAAUAAAGUAUUCUUAUAUCUGUAGCCAACAUUUUCUCCCAUCUGAUUACAAAGUUCCACCAGGAGAACCCUAGACUUGCUUGAAACAAACUGCCAUCCCAUCAGUAUUCCCUGAAUUUCCAAAAUACCCACAGCGUGCUCUACCAAAAAACAGGCAGGAAUUGAAAAGGAAAACAUCCUAAUCACCUGAAGGAAUCACAGCCAAGAAACAAAGGGUAGAAAAAUCUGCCUACGUUGCAACUGGUGCUGGAGCAAAUUCGCCAAAAAGAAGCUAAAACGUAAAAUCAAAACUCUAAACCAAAAGCUGUGAUGCAGAGAUAAAAAAUCAACUUACUUCAUGAUAUCAUUGAUACAAUGAAAAACAGAAGCAUGCUUUCAUUUUCAGCAGCUGAUAUACUAAAAGUUUUUUGGAAUUUCCAGAGAGAUAUUCAUGAAUGAAAUAAGAAAUUUAUCAGUCACCCCUCAACAAAUGUGUUAUCGCUAAGAAUUAUAAAAGUUUGCUUCAACUGUAAAUUUCUACUCCCAUAAAGCUAACAGCUUCUUAAGAAAAAUUUUCAAAAUGCCACACCCACCAUCAAUCAAACAAUGGACAGCCUCAGUCAACUGUGAGCCUGGAUUUCUUUCUGAAGUUUUCAGUGACUUAGAAAAACAAAGCAAUAGUAAACUUGAUAGGAAAGAUUGUGCCCUGUUAAUAGCACUCUUUUUCAAAUGACGUCACAUCAAAAUGACGCUUUGCAUGAUGGGAUAGGUUUGCAGACAAAAAUGUUUGAACCCCAUGUACUUGCUGUAAGAUCUGUGCGCGACCCAUGUUGUUUAUCCUUGGAUCGCGGUUACAAAAUUCCUUUUAUUCGAAAAAUCAAGCUCAUUAAAAAAGGGUAAGGAGUCGUGCAACUGCUGCCGUAGGUGAUCAGCCUUUUAAAAUGGAAGAACUUGUGCUUUCAGAGCUGGAUAUUCCAGGUGCAAAUUUCAACAGAGAUCCUGCAGAAUAUUCUGUUCUUGAACUCAAAUGCUAGUUAGAAUGCCAUGGCGAGAAGAAAUCUGGAAGAAAACAGGAUCUUAUCAACAGAGUAAGAUCACGAAUUGCAUUCAAGAAAGGUAUUGAUCUGAAGAUUGAUCAUGGAAAGUGGUACGAAAAGAAAGGGCAAGAAAGACAAACACGAUCAUCGAUGCAACCCAGAAACAUAGAUAUUCCUGUGGAGGAUUGGGGAACUUUCCAACUGCCGAUAUUCUAUGGCAAUGUAUAUCAGUAUCUUAUUGAGUCAGUUUCGCAGUUCGGCCUAAGGGAGAAUACCUCAAGUGAGACGGAAGAUGAUGACAGAAACUUUUCAGCUAUAACUGCAAGACCACUUCGUAAAGGCAUGAAUCUAAUGAAAGUGGCUUUGUGAGUGUUAUGUUGAUUAUACAGAUGACAAUUAUUAUUUCUGGAAAGCUCAUGUGCAUCAUUCAAUGAAAAACGAGUUACCACUUGCAGUUGUUAUUGUCCUAAGUCAUAACCGUGGUUCAGUUCAGCAGGCCUCAUGUACCUGUAAGGCUUCAGCAUUCAGUAGAUGCGGCUAUGUUUCUGCCCUUUUGUUGAAAAUAGUUCAAUUUAUUGAAGUUAAUGGCACCAAGGUCAAAGCUCCUUCCACUUCAAAGCCAUGCCAAUGGCAAGAAACGAGCUAAAAACCCAACUGUGGUGCAUUGUGCCACUUAUGAGUCAAAGAAGGCUUCAAAACCCAAUUUGUAUGACUGGGAUCCACGACCAAUUAGGUAUCAAAACAAUUUUGGCAAUGAACAUGCUAAUUCAUUCCUUAUAGUCUGGUCGAAUUGUGGCUUGACCUAGAAUUAAAUGCUAAAUUAAAUGCUACAUUAAAAGCAAACUUUAUAACAUUCGAAUCAAAAUUUAAUGGAGAAUAACAUGUUGAGAGCCUCAUACUGAGGUCUUUGGGCAAAAAAAGUUAUAACCGCUAGUUUGGAUGGGGGUUUGUCAACAAUUUUUCUGACUUUUGAUAUUUAGCUGCGAACCUUUCUGCUGAAAAGAAAUCAUAUACCAUAAACUGCAUAUUGUAAACGGUUCAAGCUUUGCACCAAUACUUUGAAAUAUGCCACGCUUAAUCCAACAAAGUUUACAAAUAACAUGAUGACGUCAUCAGUGAAUAUUUGGAUUACAUCGCUGUGGUAAAAAUGUUUAUUCGUGCAGUGAGAACUGGUGACUGGAACUUGCAUUUGGUGUCUUUUAAGAAAAUGCUGAACUUAUUCGCUGCUACAGCCCAUGUUAACUAUGCUAAAUGUGCAAGUGGCAUCUACAUGACAUGCUCUCAUCCUUGGGUCUAUGAUCAAUUUGCAAGAGGCAAUCUGCACACUAUCAGGCGCAGCGAGCGAUUUUUGUCAGGCUUAUGAACAGAUUUGGUCAUUGAACAGGUGAUGAUGAGAGCAUUGAAGAGCAAUGGUGGUCUGACACGAGGAAGAGGUAUUUCGGAAUCUACUCACCAGUUAUGGAUCAGAAGUAUGCAUAGGUCUGCAGACAUACACAAUGCAAUGAGUGAAUUGACUAGCGCAUAUAGGAAAACAAGUGAACAGCAUGUUCAGUUAGGCCCAAGCAGAGUGUCUCGAGACAAUAAAGAUCUUACGUUAAUCAAAUAAUGGUUUGAUCUCCAAAACCCUUUUGGUGAAGACGGGCAACAUCUCAAAAGUCUUUCAACUGGCUUGAUUGCUGAUGAUCGAGUAAACUGUGAUGAAGCAGAGAAUGUUGAACGAAAUAUUCAAAACCGACAUGAUAACAGGAGCAUGGAAGAUGCGAGCAUCAAGAGAAAAGAAAGAGUUCAAACAUUUUAAGAUCUCUUGCCUAAGACGAAAAUUGGGAACAAUACAGUGACCAUCAAUCCAACUAAACUAUUUAGCCGUUUGACUGACUUGGCUAACUUCCAAAUGACCCUUACUGAAAACUUCUGCUAUGAACUAACUCUAGAGCCGAUGUCUCUCUUUAAACAAGGUAUGAUGAGAAAAUCGGCUAAAGCUGUUCUUAGAAAUCACCUACUGGCUACAGAGAAUGCAAUUAUCCCGACUACUAAUGACGUUUGCGUCUUUGAUGGUGAUGCAUUGCUCCACAAAGUCCACUGGCCAAAUCAACGUAUUCUGAAGUUCUUGAACAGUACAUUGCAUUUGUAAUGCACAGAUUUGGGAAGUACACUUGCGUAAACGUUGUUUUUGAUGGAUAGUCAGACAGAAUGUCAACAAAAGUGGCGGACAUCAGGAGCAUCUUUGUUGAAUGAGCAAAACGUCAGCUAGCAUUGAAAUCACUGAAAGCUCAAAAGUUACUUGUAGCAGGGAAGCAUUUCUGGCGAACAUAGAUAACAAGAAGAGGCUGAUUAAGUUGCUUUGUACUCGGUUAGAGAGUUUAAUGUCUAAUUUUAGAUGUUUUGGUCGAAAAGUCUAACAUUGGAUUUCUUACCAGUGUAUAUCGCAAGCCUACCUUUACUGGUCAGUACAUAUGCUGAAAUUUGUUUUGCCCAAAACAACGCAAAGUCAACCUUGUCAAAACAUUAGUACAUUGGCCACUUAUUAUCUGCUCGAAAUCUACACUGCACGCUGAACUGGAAAAACUCAAAACGAUCUUCCUGGAAAACAGCUAUCCAGAAGAUGUCAUUUUAUCUUAUACUUAGGAGAAGAUCGCAAGUUUUUCAGCUGUUCAAAAGUUUGGUCUGCAAAAGUGCCCAGUUUAUUUGAAACUACCAUGGAUUGGUAACAAUUCCUUGCGAUUCGAGAGUCAGAUUAGGCAAGCCAUAACCAAAUGUUUCUUUGCUGUCAAUCCUUGGAUUGUUUAUAGCACUAGGAGAGCCCUUCAAUCCAUUAAAAAGGAUUGCGUUCCUACCAACCAAAAAAGUUCUGCCAUUUAUGAAUUACGUUUCAGUGUAAUUCUAGCUACGUAGGACGCACAACCCAAAGAUUGGGGGAUAGGAUAAAACAGCAUGUUCCUUCUAACAUCAGAAACAAAACUGCCAGUCAAAGAGAACAUCCUCCUCGAUCUUGUGGGUCUAGAAACACUGUUAAAACAAGUGAUUCUGCCAUCGGUCAACAUCUUUUAGACAACCCAGAAUAUACAAAACUCUAUAAUGACGACAUCUUUCGGAUAAUUGGCAGAGCCUGGUCGUCCUUCCAUCAAGCAGUUUUAGAGUCGAUCUACAUAAAAACAAAAAAGCUGCCAUUGUGUAGACAGAGGGAGUUCGUUUUCUCUCUUGGACUCCAGUGGUAAUUUUUCUUUAGGCUCGCGGCACUGAUUGGUCAACUAUACUGGUCUUGUGCUUGCGUUUUUCUGAUUGGCCUAUUUCAAUCCACAACUGGGUAUAUAUUUUCCAUUGCGUUUUUUCGUAACCUUAUUCUGACGCUUUAUGCUCUGAGGAGUGUCCGACGAAAAAGCUUUCAGUAGGUCGUAAAAUGUUUGAUUUUUUCAAAGCCAUUUUUGAAUUCUGAUAUCACUGUUUACGCCCUUAAGAAUGGUGGCAGCGCCGAUUUUUCAUACGAUCCAUUUUCAAAAAUUUGUCUUUAAUUUCUUAAAGGACAAGUGAGACGCUUUUGGCGCCAAAUUAUUUUUUUUCUUUUAACUCAAAGUAAAAUGCUGUAUGAGAGUGCUGUCGAAAUAUUUUUCUUUUCUGAUUUCAUUUUCCUACUUAAAAACCCUUUUCAAAUUAUGGCAGGAAAUGAAUCACGUGAUACUGUGACGUAGAUUGUGAUAACAGACAUAGAUUGUAGAACAAAAUUUCACAGUACUGAGUCUUCAGUACAAUUGACCUUCAAAGUGCCUACCACCAGAUACCUUUGAAAGAAGAAGACAAACUUUACACUGCCUUUCAAGCCAAGGGUGGGCUUUAUCAAUUUACUCGCCUCCCUUUCAGCGUAGCUAACGGCAUGGCAUGCUUCCAAAGAGAAAUGAUGAGAUUUGUUUAAAAUAAUAAUUCAGAAGCAGUGUUUCCUUAUCUUGACAAUAUAACUAUCUGCGGAAAAGAUCAAGCUGAUCAUGAUGAAAACCUUGAUCUGUUCCUGGAAGCUGCGCGGAAGACUAAUCUAAAAUUCAAUGAAAGCAAGAGUGUCUUCUCAACUCGGCGUCUUCCAUUACUGGGAUAUGUCAUCGAGGAAAGUACAAUUUGUCCAGAUCCAGACUGGCUAAAGCCUCUGCUAGAGCUACCUCUCCCACAAAACUCAAGAUCUCUGAAUAGGUGUCUGGGACUUUUCUCUUAUUAUUCUCAAUGGGUUCCAAAUUUCUCUGAUAGAAUGAAGCCCGUAACCAGUCACAAGGGUUUUCCCUUGUCUCAGGAGGCAGAGAAGGCAUUUGAAGAAUUAAAAACCAUCAUUGCUAAAGCUGUGGUAUCUGCUAUAGAUGAAACCAUUCCUUUUGAAGUGGAGACUGAUGCCUCUGAUGUCGCUUUAGCAGCUACUCUAAACCAGAACGGUAGACCAGUAGCAUUUUUCUCUCGCACCCUACAAGGCAGUGAACUAAAACACUGAGCAGUGGAUAAAGAAGCUCGAGCAAUUUUCGAGUCCAUAAGACACAAGAAACAUUUUCUCACAGGUUCUCAUUUCACAUUUAAAUAUGACCAUAAAUCAGUUUCCUACAUGUUCAACCAGCAUCAUAAAGGUAAAAUCAAGAAUGACAAAAUAAUGCGCUGGAGAAUCGAGCUCAGUUGUUACAGCUUUGACAUUGUAUAUAGGCCUGGUAAACAGAAUAUUCCUCCAGACACAUUUUCCCGAGCUAACUGUGCCACAAGUACAAGUGAUUCUCUCUAUAAGCUACAUGACUCUUUGUCUCACCCCGAUGUGACAAGAUUCUGGCAUUUCAUCCGUACUAAGAACUUGCCAUUUUCUCUAGAUGAAACCCCAUCAGAAUCGCCAGAAUCACUAGUCAGUGAGCCAGAAUCACCCAGUCUUGCAUCAGCUGACCCAACCCAAGAACAUGCAGGGACGCCUGCACAAGAUUAGGGCAGGAGGGGCAGUGUUGGUGCCGAAGGCAAAUCAUUGAAUUUUUCUAUUAACAUAAUCGAGCAUUCCUAGGUGGGAGGGGGGCGAGGGUGGGGUAAUAUAAUAAAAUAUUAACUUGAAUAUGUGCCACCCAGACAGCUGGGUUUUUUACCAACAAAGAUUCUAAACAUAAAGAAAAUGUUGACGAAAUUAUCCAUAAAUGAAAAUGGUUAUUAAAUUGCUUUGUCACUCACUAUUUACAAUAUUUGGUUUUAUAAAAAUCAUGGCUGUUGUAAAUGGGCUGGUUGUAAAAUUUUGAUUGCCCGCUCAGUUUUUAUACCGAUUUAUCCUCCUUAGGUUCCUGGAGUACUUCUGAGGGAACACAUCUUUUGUUUGUCAUUUACUAUCUUUGCCGCUCUCCCUAUGUGACCUACCUUGUCACAGACAAACUUUUCAUUCUCUGCAUUUUUGUGCUGGUGUUGUCAUCUUUCUAGUAUUUUCUAAUAUAUAUUAACAUAACGAGAGUAGUCAAAGUAGUCAUCAUAUUUCAGGGCACUUCUUGCCCCCUCUGCCCCUCUUCGAAGAGGGCAGGAGGGGCAGCUGCCCCUCCAGCCCCCCUUGUGUAGGCGCCCCUGAGAACAUGUAACCAAAGUUGUUGAACCUGCGUCAUCUUCAAAUGCUAAAGAGCAGUCUCCUGUACCACUUAGAAGGUCACAACGUGAACAGCGUCCUGUGGAUAGGCUUGGUCUAUAGACAGGGGUGAAUGUUAUGAAAGACAAUUACCUUAACCUUUCUUUAUCCUACAACAAUAGAAUGCGUGCUAUUGAGUUUGCUAUUGAGUUCGUUCCUUUUGUGUAUGUUACCUUGUUUACGUUGAUUUGAGUUAAGACUAAUUUUGUUGAAUAAAACCACAAAUGUGCUUAUCUUAGAUUUUGGUUUUCCUCAGUUUACUUCUCUCUCAUUAGACUUAUCAAUGCUAUUUCAAAAAUAUUUUGGUAAAGAUUUCCUCAUCAGCUGCAACUAGUUUGUAUUGCCUUCCAGUUGCUGUUGUUGGGGCAUAAAUUAUGGAAAGUAUGUCUUCCUCUGGUACCCAACAUACAACAGCCCUCAUUGGCCAGAAAUACGACCUUGCAUUUCGGAUGUCUUUUUCAACUGAAUCAAUUUCCUCUAACAGCCUGAUCCAGUAUUUCUUCAGAUUCCAGCUCGAUCAUACUGACAGAUUGUAAGAGAAUUUAGUGAGAAGCUAAUACGAAUUCGCUAUACUUUCAAUGCAAAAUCAAACUUUAGGGCAUAUUCUUCAUCAAUUGAGGUUCUUUUUGCACCAAUGCACGAACUGGACAAAGGAACAAGGUGAUGAUAGCUCCUAGUACCAGGGACUGACUUUGCAUUAAAAAAUCUUGUCUUGAGGUUUGCCCUUGUUACUUCCAUUUUUUCCUUGGGUAUGAAUUUGAAGUUGUUUCCUUUGAUUUCCUCUUUGCAGAACUCAAACUUUUCAACUGCACUUAGAAUUUGGUUAUCAAAUGGUCCUCGUGAUGUUAUUUCUGUUAACUGUGCCCCCAGCAUCAUCACAUGUUCACUUGCCAUGACUUGUAGCGAAAAAUGACCAUGUGCCAUUAGUGCCAAAAUCAGCAUAAUGGAAGAAUAGGUUGAGAAAAUUCUUACAGUUUUUGAAUUGGCCAGCACAUCCAUCAAAGAGGUAGUUGACAGAUUUCACUCAAGAAUUGAUACUUUCAUUUAUGUGCUUUGAAGUUUCUUUUAAAAUUUGGUUCACCAUGUCUACAUCCUGAUAUAGAUCAUCUGACAUGAAGCAAAUGGAGUGAUCCUCCGUCUGACCAUUCUUCUAUGUGAACACAACAGCUGGAUGUAAGGUACCUUGUGAUUUGUUCCAGUGAUAUCCCUGUUUUUCAUCCUGUACAAGAAACUUUAUGUUUAAUGUUUAUGAAUUGUAUAAGGAUUCUACUAAACCAUAUUGUUUUAUUUAGUCUGAAAUAUCUUUGCUUAUGGUGUUAAAGGAAAAAAGAUGGCACAUCCGAACGUUCACAUCCAAAUUUGAGGCGUUCGAAAGUUUCGUUUUUCAUCCCAAUUCGCAUUGCAAACAGAAAGGUCCCGGGUAUCCCUAGCCAAUCAGAACACUGCAUUUCUAGACGACCACCACUUCUGUGCACACAGAUUCAAAGAUGGCGUCUUCAAAAACUGAUUGGAAUAGCGAUUUAGUUAAUGCGUUAAUUGAGCAAGUGCACAGAAAUGAAAUCGUUUGCAACACGGGAAGUCCAAUGUACAAAAACAAGAACGCACAAGAGGCUGCUUGGCUGAAAAUAUCCAGCAAUAUUGGACUCGAAGGGAGCAAAGUGGCGCGAUUUGAGGAACACAUAUCGAAAAAAACUAAAAGCAACAGCACCUAAAUCUGGUGAUACUGGUGGAUCAAAGAAAAUUAGGUGGCCAUGGGUGAGAGCCAUGGAAUUUAGCAAGGUAUUUUUUAAUAUUGAAGUGCCAACUGUCUCAAAUUUUUUGAGAAUUGGCCUAGACCAUGACACUGACGAAGCGGAUGGUGAAGAGGAAACACUAGAAAACGUUAUAAAUUUUACAGUUGAUCCCUCUCAACUUGAUUUGGUGAAUGCAUCGUAUGUCGAUAUGAGCAUUGGGUCGAAUGACUCUCUAUUCGAUCAUAAAGAGGAGAGCACCAAUUUGGCAAGCAGCAGCAAGAAAAACGGAGCGAAAAGAGCAGGGGGGAAAGCAGCUUUUCAGUGACAGACUUUUAGCCAAUAAAGCCAAAUGUUUCUGGCAAACGGAAAAGAAAGAAACUGCUGCUUCAACAAAUGCAAUAGAACUUGCGAUUUUAGCAGAGCUCAGAAGCUCUCGAGCCAAUGAAAAAGAAGAUGAGGACAGCUUUUUCAUGCACAGUCUUGUGCCUCAACUGAAAAGGUUGGACCCCAAAAUCAAAAGCCCGGGCAAAAUGCAAAAUUCAACAGUUGCUUUUCGAGUAUGAAUUCAGAGAGUAGCACAAUAGCACUAAUACUUUAAAGCCUAUAUUCUGUAUUGAAAGUACACUAUAAGUAAUUUUUGUAGCUGUAAAAAUUGUAUCUUUCUUUAAAGUUACCUUGGCUAAUCUUUACAUAUUUUAUAAAAUGUUAGUGUUGCAAAAGAUACCAUAACCAUUGAAAGAGAUGCAGUUAAUUUAUUAAUUAUUUCUAUAAAGAGUCCACUAGUCAAAGUUGUUACCAAAGGUGGAUACAGGGUAAGUUGCACCCUCCUCCUCAAACAUUUUUUCAGUUGGCACAUUAACGAUUUUUGCCAGGCAAAGGAGAGUUUGUUUCUCAACAUGUUGUAUAAACUUUUUGCAACAAUAAAUUUAUCAACAUUUCUGUGGCAGUUUCUGUAGCAGAAGCACUUUCGAAGUAGUAUAAAAUUUAAAAUAUUUACACAUGAAAUCAUCAUAUAAGGUUAUAUACUUAUGAGCAGACCCUAAAAGAUUGAGAGACCUCCUUUUUUGUUGGCAAAAAUAUUUUCUGUAUCCCUCUGAAAAUUGUUGGCUUUGCCCCUGGUGUUUAUUUUAAUAAGAGCCUUUGAGCACUGUUGUAAGAUAUUUCUGAUCAACUUAAAAACAAACUUAAUAUCCUUGUUUCAAGUUGCCUUUAUUUUGGGUCUAGGUUUGAAUUUGAUUACACUAAUGGUAUUUUCCCAAGUAGAGCCCACCUGCGAGUCAAAAAAACUUGAGCCUUUAAACAACCUCACUUCCUCUGUGUCAAAAUGGCAAGAGGGAACAAUAAGGGACAACCUUUAAGAAUUUUUUGUGAUAGGUCAAAGCUAAAUAAAUGAGAUUUUAUUCAUGAAAGAAAAGAAUCAAAACAAUACAAUGAAUUGAAAGUGCAACAGAUUUUAUCAAUAUUGAUGAAAAUAUAUCAAACACGGAUGGAAUACAGUUCCUCGUGGCACACACAUUCCUCAAAAUCAAGCAAAGAAUUCUUUAAAAAACCAGAAUUGUGGAUUAUAAUUAGCAUAGGUUUUGUCAUGCACCAAAGAUACCUCCCCCCUACAUUUUUUUUUCAAAAAGCCAAAUUUUUUGUCAUAAAGAAAUAAUUUUGUAUUGUUACUAAUAUUUAAAAUGAAAUUAAUGAAAAUUUUCUUGUUUUCAAUGUUUAUUGGAAGGGAUGGGGUAACUUGCUAAUUUUUAUCACAUGAAUUUCAGUUAAUUAUUUAGGGUAAAAUUUUGAGUUAAAUUUUUCAGGGUUCUGUUAAAACAUAAGCAUUUACAUACUGGCUGGCUGGCAGUACAAAUUGAAACAUACUGGCUGGCGAAUAAUCAGUUUUGUCAAUGCCAUUUAUUAACAAACUUUGCCAUGGUACAGCAUCUUCUUGAGAAUUAAAAAAAUCCUUCAGCGUGUCUCUUAUUUCAUUUGCUGCUUUCUUGCAUGGGUUUCUAUUCCUCCCAGUUCCUGCUGAAUAGUACCCAGUGUCAUUUCCAGCUUCUCUUCUUCAUCCACCUGGUUUGCUUCCCUGUCUUCAGAAUCAGUGAAACCUGGGGGGCAAAUCUUCAUUCAUUCCUUGGGGAAGUUGUAUCAUUCAACAUCAGGAAGUUGUGGAGUGCAACCACUGCCUAUCAGCAAGCUAAGGUAUUAUUCAAUGUCAGCAAUCCUUUAACAACAAUACUGUUUGGCAAAUCUUUACUUACAACAAAUGACAAUUACAUGUAAAAUAUACAUUUUACAACAAAUGAUAGAAGUAUCAUUAUACAUACAUACUGUACAUGAAAUGUGUAAAAGUUAUCUCCUUCAACACACACUCAAUGCAACACUACUUUAGGUAUUUUUGAAAGAAGUGUAAAAAUUAAAAGCAGGGCUGCCUCUUCUUAUGAACUUAUUUCAGCAGUUUCAAUAAAUAUUAAAAGUAUAGUCAACGUGAAACUUUGAAUGGUUUCAUCUUUAUAGGAAGUUUGUAAUAACCUUGAUAAAGGCCAAAUCACAGAACUUUUGGCAGGUAUGGCAAAAUAUGCUCCCACACUUUGGAGGAUCUUUGUUACGAAGGCCCUUACCGCCAGCGGAGAAGAAAAACCUGAAGAAAGGGAAGGAAGUAUAGAUUCACCUGUGUGGUGUGAAUGUGGCAAGUGUCGUGAGAUGAAAAAGAAGAAGAGUGCGUCUGUUGCAAGAAUGGUAUAAAGAACCACGAGCAUCCAUUGCUGGAAAACAAUGUUUUAACUGAACACAACUUAGAACUGGCUAUGCAAAGCAAUGCUGACUUUCUUAAUUAUCCUAUUGACCCAUCAAAUAAUGGAUGUUGGCGAUACAUAGCAUUUCAGCAGUACAUUUUAUGGUUUUGAGGAAAACUUGGCAGAAGAAAUCGGAAAGUUAUACAUUCAUGCAUUGUCUGGAAAAUCAGAGAUAGAUUCCCUGAUCCUAAUGGGAACUACACAGUCUUCAUAGAUGUUAGUCAUUAUGCAUAGCCAUUUGCUAGAAUCAUGGGUAAAUGUAAAUUAAACAACUUUUUUUGGCAUUGUGAUGUAAAUCUGCAUAGGUCUUAUUGCAGAUGCAACGCUUCUGCUCAUUAUCUUUAGCUUCUUUAUGCCGAUUAACAAUAGUGUGAGGUUUUAACGUUGGUAAUGCUCCACGAACUGUUCUAAUAUACAACAGUUCAGACAGUGCUACUUUGGUUGUACUAUGUGGUGCUGUUCUGUAUUGCAACAGGAACCUGGACAGCUCUUGUAGCCAUAUCUUUACUUUUGUCGUAUGGCUUUAGCUAAGGGUUGCAUGAAGCUUUCGACUUUCAUGUUACCUUGUGGCCAUUUUGGAGAAGACGGGGUAAACUUUACACCCCAAAACUUUAAAGUUUUCAUGCAAUGUGAGACUGGAUUUUUUAUAGUCACUAAAAAUAAAAAAUGUUUAUAAAUAGAAUAAGAUUCCAGGAAAUGGCAUCGAAAUAUCUUCUUCGGUUGUGAAAAUAUUGCCAUCCAAAGUUUAGGAUUCAUAGGAAUCAAAGGUGAAAUGGUUAAUUAUUUGAUUCUUCAAUUAUGACGUAGAAAGUAGCAGUCAUAGAGAUGGGAGUAACCAUUCAAUUCGCUGAAUUAGUAAUGGUGACGGACACGCAUGCGAGAGCUUCGACUGUACCUUUGGAGGAAAACGUUGUGUUGCUGGUGGCCCGAAGAAUGGGCUGAUUUGUGGAAAUAGUCAGCAUACAAGGGGAAUAUCUAUCCAUCAUUUCUCACAUAAAGUUAAAGAUCGUGAGCGACAUUUGCUAUGGGUACACUUAGUUCACCGGCCUAACUCGAAUCUGUCAGACCAAUCUGUUUUGUGUCAACGGCAUCCUCAAGAAAAACAUCAAGAGAUCAUCGUCAGGUGAGGACAGUUUUGGCGUUUACCUUGCAGUGUAUUAAGACUUGCCUUUAUUUACCUAUUUAAAAAAACUUGUAACUGCUUACUUUUACAAGUUGUACAUAUUAUUUUUUUAAAGUCAAAUUUCGCUGUAUUUAUUUACACUUAUCAGGGGUAGUCCCUCUAUCCGUAUCUCAGUCAACAACCAGACAAAAAGUUGUAUCUUGGUCUUUGGUGUAUAUAGUAUUAUAACAUAAUUUGAAAUCUAUUUGAUAUUAUAGAAAUCAGGAAGCUUCACCAGAAUGCUGCAAACAGAAAAGGAUAUGAGGCACUGGUAGAAUGGAUCAACCCAUGCUUGAAGGAGUUUCUCUGGUCAGCCACAUCCACAACUGUGGCAACGGGAAAGUGAUUCUGGCAAAGUUUCAUUCCUUUUUGCAGCAUGUCGUGAAUGAGCAUGAAAAUGAGGAUAAUCAAGUAUUUAAUAAAUGUGCACGUGAUAAGAUUAUCACACAAAGAACAUGGCUUGACAAAGGUAAGAGCAAGCUUUCAGACAACAAAUCAGCUUGCUUUGAAACAGGUAAUUAGUGUGGUGAAUUAGUGAAUUACUCUGAGGUGUGAAACUAUGAAAAUGAAUUGAAAUGGUGUAUCAGACUUACACCUGAUUUGCAAAGUUUUCCUAGUUACACCUAAUUUGUAUAUGUUUGACUGCAAAUCUUCUCGAUAUAUGCCCCCCCCCCCAAAUGUCUUUAGGAUUUGGUGAAAAUGAAUAUGAAAAGUACUUAGUAUUGGCUUUCUUUCAAAAAAUUGAUCAGAGCAUUAACAUGAUAUGCAAUAAAAGUUAGUUUUUUUAAAUUGCAGGUUCACCAGAGAACGACAAACUCAAAGAGCUUUUAAUGAAUCAAAGUCUUGUUAAUGGCAUCCAACAGGCUUCGCCCCUUUCCCUAACCAGCUGCUCUGUGCUAAACCACUUUGCCCCAAAAAUGCUUGCCUUUAGCCAUUCUGGCACUAUUUGCAAGUUUGCUAAGACAAUAUAAGUUAAUAGCUAACUCAGUACUUUUACAACUGACUUUUCUGAAAGCUGAACCUUCAAUGUUCUACAAAACUUUAAACUUGAAAGCAUAACAUCUUGGUGCCAAAUGAAAAUGAAAUUUUUAAAUACUUUUUUUAACAACAACACUUUUUAUUCUAGACAUUUACUGCCUUUAGUGCAUUUCAACGGAAAUCUUCAAAGAGAAUUUAAAUAUAAGCAGGACGGUUCUAUGCAACACAUAAUUAUGUCGAGGAAAUCUUCAAAGUAAUGAUGGAUGGAAUUGGAAACAAUUCUUUAACAGUAGCAUCAGCAGAAUUAAGUGACUUUGCACCACCACCUAUGAACACCAUGCUCGAGAAACAUUUAGCCCAUAAAGAGAUGGUUACAAAUGAAGCUCCACCAACAAAUAAACCAGGUAAUAUCAUGAUCUUUUGCAAACUAACACCCUAGUUUCCAUUUGCAGGUCUUAAUGUGUGAUUUGAAAGCACUUGUGUGUCAGAUAUAUUGAAAAUCUAUCCGCGUACAACAAUAACAACUAACAAAUAUCCUUCUAGGCAAACAACUAACAAAUAUCUACCGAAUGUGUAAGCCUAUACAUGAAUUAACUUUCAUUAGCAUCAACACAGUUUUCUAUGAAUUGAUGUGCAAUUUGAGAGACUCCAUCCCAAAGAAUUAUGAAAUUCCAAUGUUUUGAUCAUCAAAGCUUUAGCAGUACCAUUCUAACAUUGGUGCUUAUACUUUCAGCAGAAAUCUUGGAGCCAUUGACAACAAAUACCAGGAAAAAGCCAAAACAACAACCGAGAUUCCCAGUGUGUAACAACUUGAAAAAAGGGCACAAAUUCACUCUGGACUGUCCAAGGAACAACCAAAUUGACAAAAAAAAACAAAUGCAUAUUCUCUUAGGUGGCUAAUAAAUGCCCCUACCCCCUUAUUAAUCGAGGUUGAUUUUGGCUUGAAAAAGUAAUGCACACGUCUUAGUAAAGAUUCCAAACUUCAAAUUUAUCCUUUACCAUUCUAGUCUAUUAGGCACUUAAAAGUAUAUAAUUUUCUUUAUUAAUCGUUUUCAAAAUUUGAUUCAACCUCUUCGUAUCCAACCAAGCUAUCUUCAAUAAACGUAGCAUGUAGCGUAAUGUGCACAUACAGGGAGUGGUAGCCUCUUUGUGCCCAGCUUUCCAUGCACAAAUCAUACAAAAAACUUGCCUUAUCAACCCAUUUUCGUUUUCUAAUACUUUCGGAAUGCGCACAUUUAUUGAAAAAAUUGUUCGGAAAAUUUUCAUGCUCGUUAGCAAUGUGAUGUAAAAACGACUGGAAUUUUGCAAGAAUCAAUUGCCCAUCACCAUUGGGUGUGGACGUUGCACUCCAAUGGAGAUGCUUUGUACCCUUUCCUCUUUGAAAAUUUUAGCAGCUCUUUUCUAAGUUCUAAAAAAAUAAUAUAAUCAAUGAUAGCCACAAAAUUGACUCAGAGUGGAUGGAAAUUUUCGAAUGAAGUUUACUGAACCAGAUUUGAGUGAUGUAUAUCAAAUCUAAGCAAUUUUAUAAUCAAAUGCAUUUGUUUAUAUUUAUAUUCACUGUGUUCCACUUCAAAAAACCUUUCACACUUGCUUUCCGAAUCCAUUAAAAAUUCAAUUUUAUGAUUUUGUUGAAUCUCUCUUGGGAUAAAUUUGUGCCUUUCAAAUAUAAACUGCAUAAGAAGUAGUCAACUAACUUUUUUUAAGGUGCCAUAAAUCAAAAUAGUGCUUGAAAUCUUUUUGGUCUACUCUCAUAGCUUUCCUUAUUGUCAUAUGUCGAUCUGACACAAAUGUUGAUAUUUUCAACCCAGCACUCUCCAUGUUGUUGAAGCAUUGCUUGAAACCUUCAAACUCCAUUGCUGAACUAUUACCAACUUCAUUACGCUAAAAUAAAAAUUCAAGAAACAUAAAGAAUUGUAUAAAUAGACAUGCUCUAACAUUAGAUAAAUUGAAAAAUAAUUGCUCAUAAUGCUGAUAUCAAUUGUGAUUGCAAAAAGAACUCACAUCUCAAGAGAUCUUCUAGGCUAUUAAGAUACCUUUGUUAUUAUAUAAAUGUGCAACCUUUUUUGUGUAGUUGAAUUUGAACAUGUGAAUAAGAUUAAAACAAAAGUCUCAAAUCGUUUUUUCCUAUAGAACACAAAUUUUAAGCUUAAUAUAAAUAAUAUAACAUUAUUCAAGUUAAAUAGAAAAUUAUAUGGUUUUCAGUUUUAUACUACACACAAAAAUAACUAUAUUUCAUCAUCAUAUAUAUAAUAAUGCAACUAAAAUUUAAAUGAAGAAUAAAAAGCUUUUGACCCUCUGAUGCUUGAACUAUAUCAUUCAGUGAGUUUCAGGAAAGCUGUUUAUGAAAAGAAACCUAUAAGCAUACUUACUUGAACAAUAGAAAAGUCAAUUAUUUUGUUGUUGUUGCAGCAAUAUAUGGUGUAUGCGCCAUAUUUUGCAGAGUGGCUCAUGCUAUCAUGCUGUCCAUCUACGCAAAUAUUCCCCUUUUUCCUUCAAAUCGUUGAUAGUUUUUUCUUGAUAUUGCUUCCAGAACAGAUAAACAGAUUGUAUAAUUUUUUCCUAUAGAACACAAAUUUUAAGCUUAAUAUAAAUAAUAUAACAUAAUUCAAGUUAAAUAGAAAAUAUAUGGUUUUCAGUUUUUUACUACACACAAGAAUAACUAUAUUUCAUCAUCAUAUAUAUAUUAAUGCAAUUAAAAUUUAAAUGAAGAAUAAAAAGCUUUUGACCCUCUGAUGCUUGAAGAUGGUAGCCAAAGACAAACCCCAUAUGGUUAAAAACUCUAAAUAUUUUACUGGCUGAUGCACCAGCCACAAGAGUAGCAAAGGACCGAAGCAGGUUUCCAGCUGGGAUCUUGGUUCCUUUCAUAUCUUGCUGACUUCUCCACACAUUUUCGUUUGAUGGGCACUGAAUACUGGAACAUGUGGUUUUCACCUCCACAAUGGUUCCAAUCUGACGUGUGGUGAUGAGAGGAUUUGCUGUUUUGCAGACAAGACAUAACUGAAACAACAGCAAUAGCUGUUACAUAAGAACAAUAAACUUUGAUUCAUUCCUGAGGUUGUCAUCCUUUGAAUGUCUGAAAUAGAAUAUACGAAAUGAAUUUAUGAAAAUGCCUUAAAUUUAAAGCCAAUUAAGGCAACAUGACAACUAAAUGUGAUAUUUUCAAUUUUAUCAUUUGACAAGUUGGAAUCAAAUCAAAUCUCUUCAUCAGACUCAUCAGUGUCUUCUUCAAUAUCAUAAUCUACAUCUUCCAUAUCUUCUAGAUGGACAUUUUCUUCAUCACUGAAAAUUUCUUCAUCUGUGUCCGAAGCAUAAACUGGAUGGUGAAGAGGUUUUGGUGGCCUUGUCUCACUUCUUAAGGUUUUCACUUUCACUGGAUGUACUAUAAUAUUGACAAUAUUUUUAGGGUCCACACAUUAAUUAAAUCAUCAUACUUUACAUAAUUCAUGGUUUCUCUGCCACAGGGGGGAAUCACCAUCAAUAUUUUGUGAGACGUUUUUUGUUCAGGCGCAAAUACGUUCCGAAUGGUCUGAAAAUUUUUUAGAACUUUUGAAAAUUACCUUACCACAGCUAAUAUGAUAAAUCAUGCAAAUUGUUACUCCCGUUAAGAAGCGAAUUUAGGUCUCUAUAAGUGUUACAUUUCUGAAAACGUUAACACUGUUUACCUGGCGAUGUGCCUUAGACCUCUUUGGCUUAGGCCGUGUAGAUUCUCCAGUCACAACCAGUGCAGAAGAGUCUAUAGGGUACACUGUCGGAAAGUCAAGGGUGCCAAAAUCAUCGCGCUUCAACACUGCCUGUAGCCUUUCUGUUGGUCCAAGCAGUGCCAUGCAUUUUCGUAGGAAAUUCUCUUCUCCAAAAUGAUCUUUCAGUUGCAUUGACUCCGUCUCACCCAUUUGCUUUUAUUUCCCUACUGAUGUUGUCUUCCAUGCUGUUCUAGAAAAAAUAGUGGCAGGAUUUGAUAUAACGACGCAACCAGAUAAACUUCUUAUCUUACAGCGUACAGCUCCAACCUUUUUAACCUGCUGACUGCGUUGCCUGUUGGAAAUAUCCCAGAAGCUAUGGCAGAUAAGUUGAAGCUUACAUUUGCAAAAGAAAGGCACUAUAUUGACCUGGUUGAAACCAAGGAUGCAUCAGCCCAUCGAGAUUUUAUUUCUGCCAAAUUGGCCUCAGCGGAACCAGUGAGGAUUAUAUAAGGAGGACCUUUUGAAAAGUGGUCAGAAUAGACUAAUGCAUGACUGCACAAAAGACUAUCGUGGUCAUACUUGGCUAAUGCCAGGAAUCUUUAUUGUAAACAUGGUAUGUAAACUUUGAUUUUACAACUCAGGAGCAAAGAUAUACCAUCAAAUUUCUCCAGAAAUUAAAAAAAUUGUAAUUCUUUUUUAAUAGAGGAAGAGCCUCUAACUUAUUUUAACUAAGUUUCAAUUUCAAUAAGAAAUAGUGUCUAUUCUUGGAAAUAUUUUAACUUAUUUAGUUAUUCAACUUUUUGACUUCUUUCAAUGCAAAUUGCAAAUAGGGAAUUUUAUUUUGAAAUUUUAUUUGUUCUACUUUUACAAGGCACACAUUCAUUCACGAAAGUGUUUUUAUUCCAGUUUAAAUAUUCGAAUUAUUAUUAUUAUUAUUAUUAUUUUUAAUUAUUAUUGACUAUUUGAAAUACCUUGAACUUUCUAUCAAAAAUUAAGAAAAAUAUUCAAAAACUUUAUUUAAUUUCAUGGUUUUUGCUGGCUUAUUAAGGACUCAAAAUGCAGAAUGUUGAAGUCUCAAAAUGCAGAAUAUAUCCACCUAAGAUUUAGAAAAAGGUUUCUGACAAAGCAGGAGCUAAUCUUUGGAUUUUAUUUCAAAAGAUAUUUGCUACGUAUUCAGUGUAAUGGAUGCACAGCAGUCACCAAACAUUCCAUUCACAAUUUUUCCACUCAAAUUGAAGAGGGUAAUUGUGUGCUUUGAGGAUAGUUAAUGGUUUUCACACUAUUUAAUGCUAAUAGCAGCUUACCUUUUAGGUUAACUUCUCUAAUGUGUGUCUUUGAAUUUGUUGUAGCCUACCUUCUGUUUUCUGAAUCCAUUAUUGUAGCUGACAUUUGCAAAUAUUGGCAAUGUAGAGCAGCAAAGCUGCACUCAUUUUAGAAUUGUGUUAGAAGUAAUUAAUGCAAAUUACGAGAACAAUUUUAAAUGUAAAUAACCAAGAAAGAUUUGGUUUAUCUUUUUGACAAGACAUCAAUAGAUCUCUGUAAAAAUAGAUUUGAUGUUUAAAUAUACAACUGAAUCAUUUUUAACUUUAUUCUAGCACCACGUACAUCUGUGAUAAUUGUUGUAGUUUCCAAAGCUACUGCUUAAAUUGAGACCCCGUGUUUUUCAAGACUACGCUAUUUCUUGCUGAUCGUUUCCAUUGGAAGAAUCAUAAAGGUAAUAAUCAUUCUUUGUCUUUCAGAUUUUUUUUAGCUUCAGCCCUAAUUCCAUGACAAGGAUCAUGACACAAUUCAGACAAGGCCAUGUUAAUUUUUUUUCUAUUGAUCGCACAUAAGAAUUGUCUAUAACCCUUUAACUGAAUUCGAGUGGUCUGUGCAUUUACGUAUAAUUCUAUUUUGGAGACCAAUCAUGAGAUGCACCAGAUUUUCUCUAUUAGUUUACUUUAGCUAGUUGUUGAUAAUGGAAAAAUUGCACUAGAAUAUACUUACAAACAAACUUAUUUGUCAAAACUUCAAUAUUGCCUAGAUAGCCAACCAGUACUCUAAAACAACUUAUUUUAUAGCUUGGGCUGAUAGUGUCAAAUUUGUCAUAUUAUUUGCAAUAAAACAAACUCAACUCUCAGAUCAAUGAACAGAGAAAUGCAAAGUUAAAAACAGCGAAGAGCCAGCUCAGCUACAUGAAGAACUUUUCAAACCAUGUUCGCCUUAUUCUGUGGUAUGGUAACCAGAAAGUGAAAGACAAAUUACAAAGUGAUGUCCACUAGACAUAAGACACAAGAAGUAAGACAUAAGAGAUUCAUUUCAACCAACAAGAAUUACAAUUUAAGUUAUGAUUAAUAAAAAAUAAAGAAACAAGUACAUUGGACUAGGUUUACCAUAAUCUAUGAUACCAAGUCAUUAAAUUAAUGACAUUGAAAAUUUUAGAAAAGAACCCAAUGGUUGGGAAGGGAUCUCAUAGCAGAGCUAAUUCACAGACCCCUACCCGGACAAUCAGGCCGAUCCAGACAUACCAACUGAGGUUACCAGUUCUUAAAUGUAACUGCUAUAGAAGAAGAAAGGGCUGCUGUCAGAAACGCAGAAGGAUAGUUUGGGGAAAUAGGAUUGUUUGAUAAGAAUCAAAAGCCUUAUUGAAAAUAUGUACGCUUAAGGUUUUUUUUAUUUGUCGCAUUUGUAAAGAGAGGAUUGUUUUUUAAUGCAUUAAGCGCUUUAGUGCCAGUAUAGCGCAGGGAGCUUAGCCCAUAGGUAGUUGUAUUAAAUUUUUGUGUAUGAAGUCCUCUAGCGGAUGAAAGACGAGUUGUCCGAUUGUGCAUAUUUUGAAAAUACAACUCUUUGAAAAAGCCAGUUUUAGCUGCUUGGUAGUCGAUUCAUAUCAAAAUCAUGCAUAAAGAGUAAUUGUUGAAGUUUAAGAAUAUCAUCUAACUUCAAGAUUUUUAAGUCUCUGAAAUGAUGUGAUGUGUGGUCGUUAUAUCCUGAAAAAGGGAUUGUUUGUAUAGCCUGUUUUUGAGUUUACGUUUUUGGUCAAGUUGAUCACCAGUUGCAUUUCUCCAUUAGAUGCAUCCAUAAGAUAGGUGUGAGUUAGAAAGACUGUUGUAAAAAUGCUUUAGAGUUGAACUAGUUACAAAAUGUCUGAUUAUUGUCAGCAAGCCAGUUGAAUUUGUUAUUGAUCAGAAUGCCUAAGUAUUUAAUACGAUUGGACUCAUGUAGAGUUUUGUUAUUCAAGCGGAGAGUGAAGUUGAAGUUCCUGUUUUCGCUCAAAUUGUUCCUAAAGAGAAGAAAUUCCGUCUUCGCAACAUUAAGUGAAAGUCGAUUUGGGCAAAGCCAGUUAUACAGAGAUUCUAGUUCUUUAUUCAUUGACUUUCUAGGAGUUUUGAGACUUUUAUUGGAAAUAAUAAGAUUUGUGUCAUCCGCGAAAUAAUGUACAAGUGAAUUUGGAGUAGCAUAUCUUAAAUCAUUUAAAUAGAUUAGAAAUAAUAGUGGUCCUAGUAUAGAUCCUUGUGGUACACCACACAAUAUGGUCAUUAAACUUGAAUCGAUGCAGUUUACUUGUACAUAUUGUUUUCUGUCAGUUAGGUAAGAUUCAGACCAUUGAUGGGCUGGUCCUCUUACUCCGUAAUGGUAAAGUUUGUCAAGUAAGAUUUUAUGAUUCACACUUUCAAAAGCUUUUUGAAGAUCAAUAAAUACCCUGCAUACAUUUACUUUAUUAUCCAAGGAUCUCAAGGAUUUCACUAGAAUUCAGUAAGGUAGAGUUGUCAGAGUUCAGUAAAGUUUCUUAACUUCCUAACCUAUGCCCAUCGUACCCAUUCAAAUAAUGUUCCUUCUAAUCAGUUACCUUAAUAUCUUUUUCAUAAUGGCGAAACAGGGUACAAAGUUUCUCAGAGUCUCUAAAAAAACCAGUUCUGUGGAGGAUCGCGAGAUUUAUUGUUUCCAAAUUUUCAGACAUACAUAUGUUAUGUACAUAUCAUUUAAAUCGCGUGUUAAGCAAAUGUUUAUAAAACAAACUUCAAUUUUUUGCAGAUAUAUACCUAAUUGAGGAGCCUUGAAAAGUAUAAAGGGGGGGGGGAAAGAAAAACAUUGAGACCUUUUCAGGGCAUCGAAGAAAUCCUACAGCCGCCCUCCCAUUUUUCAUCAAAGAUUUCAUUUGGAUCUUUUGCGACACAACAAAUGUGGAACAGAAAGUUGCAGGAAAAAACGUCUUACAGCUCUGUCAUCAGUACUACCAGUUUCUGAACUAUCACCAUCAAUGAUUACACAACAGUUGUAAUCAGCUCAACAUACAAUGGAUUUGCUUAUUGAACUUGGUUCCGUAGAUGUGUUCCCCAAAUCACCUUCUACCAUACCACCAUCUCUAACUGUACCAUUUCCUCCAGUGAUGGCCACACUAACGUUAUCAUCCCCAAUAUAAUUAUUUCCGUCACCCUUCACUUUUACAUUGCUGUUAUUAACAUGACCCCUAUCUACAUAAGUGUCAGAACCAUAACGCACAUCUUCAUCAUCAUCCAUAUUUACAUCGCCUCAAGUCAAACUAUUUAAAAACAUCAGACAGUGAUCCAGCACUUUGGCCCUCUCUCUAGUAGACAUGAAUGAGCAUGGCAAGGCUGGAUCCCUUGUAUUAGGGCUCCUAAAAAGAAUGCUAUCUGGCCACCAAUGCUGGUUUCAAGCAUUGUGGUUGUGCCUCUCCACUUUUCUCUUUUGAGCUUUGUCAACUGCGCAGGCAACAUCCAUUUUACCAAUUAACUUGUAAGCAGUAUGGUUGGUAAUAUGCUUUUCGAUAUUUGGUGGCAAAUAGCCGUUCUCCAUAAGUUUGAUUCUGGCGAAGUUUACCCAUUUUCCUCCACAACACGUUUCUUGUCUGGAAUAAAGAUAAACAUCUCAUUAUAAAAGUGCCACAUUCUUUCAUGCACUACAAUUAUGCUAGGGGCCUAUGGACUCGCUGUCAGGGUCUUAUAAGCGCCAUAAUAAGCAGACAAACAACAGCCUUUGUUUUUUUGUAAGCCUUGGUUUAUUAGAAAGGUCAUCAAAAUACAUUGGAAAAACACUUGUUUUCAUACAUGGUUCAUUUUGGUAAUUUUUGUUAAACAAACUGCUUCAUAUAAAAAGUCAAAACAAGGAGGACAAUUUGUAAAAAAUGUUUCUUAAUUCUUAAUUCAAAGAGGAAUAAAUCAAUUUUUCUAAGAAAAUAUUUGAAAUAAAAAAAUUUUAAAAAUUGCAAUCAAAUGCAAAUUUCAGAAAUAUAAAAUUAUAUUUAAUUACAGUAGACAAGUGUCCCAUUACAAGAGUAUUAACAUUAUUAUUCGUUUUCACCGUUAUAUCUUGCUUGCCGUUAGCUUGUGUUCUUUUAUACACCUGAUGAUUGUUUACACAUGAAACUCAGAGUUGUGUCACAAUAGUCUGUUUAUUUUAGUCUAUCUAAUCGCUCCGGUAAGUUGAGCACUCUAGACAGCAAUAUGAUAAUUAAUAAAUAUAUAUAUAUAUAUAUAUAUAUAUAUAUAUCUGUAUAAACUUUCGCGCCCCCUGGCCUUAAUAUUAGGUUAGUUGAAACAUAGUGUUAUUUUUAUUUCCAAUCUCUUGGAUUAUUUUCUUCUUUUCACAGCUAUUUAUUAUUUCCACAUAAUAUUAUUUUCUAAUCUUCAUGGUAGGGACAGACACCAUUCACCCUUUCUCGUUUUUGUGCAUUCCUGGGUAUAUAUAUAUCAUAGAUUGAAGAAAGUAAAACUACAUGGUUUAUCUCUACAAGCCUGUUUCUUGAGUAACUCACUCUUCAGGAGAUCACGCUCUAUGUGCUAACGUCUUGAGCACUGUGCUACGGAAGUAUCAAAAGACAAACUUCUUUAUAUAUAUAUAUAUAUAUAUAUAUAUAGAAAUUUGUCUUUUGAUACUUCCGUAGCACAGUGCUCAAUACGUUAGCACGUAGAGCGUGAUAUAUCAUAGAUUGAAGAAAGUGAAACUACAUGGUUUAUCUCUACAAGCCUGUUUCGUGAGUAACUCACUCUUCAGGAGAUGUUGAUAUACUGGAAUAUUCCUCGAAUAAAUAGAUAAUACGGUACAGAAGGUGUUACAUAAUGUGUAAGGUUAUACAAAAGGUAAAUUAGGGGCGGUACAUAGAGGGAUUUAGGUGUUACAUAAUAGUGUUUUGUUUCUAUGGCAGCAAGAAGAUACGAGUUCGUUUCGUUUGUUGAGUGUUGAUAAUUCGGGGUGGCAGAUAAUGAGGGUCUUUUCUUUAAGACAAAGGCUGCAUCUUUUGUUUGAGCUGCUGUAGGAUGGCUUUAUUGAGAGGAUGCGCCAGGAAAUGGAGUGGUCGAUUUUAUUGUCUUUUAGGGUCCAGAUGUAUUUACUGAGUUCUGUGGAAUUUCUGUGUUUUGCGUGACAGAAAGAUGCGGUGUGAUUUCUGUAUCUUGUCUUGAAUUCGUUUUCUGUAAGUCCGAUGUAUGUUUCUGUAGUUUCAUUGUCUCUGCGUGUGACGGUGGCUUGGUAAAUGACUGAUGAUUGUAGGCAGUUCCCGUUGAGUGGACAUGUGUUCGCUUGUCGGCAGUUGCAUGUUUUGUUGACAUUGGUAUUUUCCGGGGUGGUGCUGGUGUCGUGUGACUUUAGGAUGCGUUUGUUGUGACUGUCAAUGGCUUGCUUGAUGUUGUUUAUAUAUAUAUAUAUAUAUAUAGUAAGAUAGAAUAUGGACUAGAAAUGAGACAUGUUCUCUGUUACUUCGAGUUUCGUGCUUGCGCACUCAUCAGACAGACUAUAAUGAAGAAUAUUCCUGUUACCGCGGUAUAAAUAUACAAAAGGUGUGAUAAAGUUAGACAAAAGAAAUUUUUUUAGAUACAGGUUAAUUAGUUAGGUGGAGUUCUAUUGUUCAUGAGAUAAAACUUGUUUUCGUGUCGAAAUUUGUGAACUGGUUGGUCUUUUCAUCCUCACUAAGCUGGGUGCAAAAUACGGAAAAGACAACAUAGGUCUAUACAGAGACGAUACUUGGUAAAUUUUUGGGACUGGUGUAGAAUCAUUCAGGAUUUUCGUGAAACAUUUCUUCUAAAACACAAUUUCUGACUGCUGAAUCCUAUUGGUACUAAGACUUCAUCGCCUUUACUUUUUGGGUUGUGCUUUAAUUGCAGGAUUAAACAAAGUAUGCGCUUUGCUUGUAACGGAAAAUCCAUCUUGUUGGUAACUGGGCAUUGGAAAAAAAGAUACAAGAGCACAGAUACUGGUUUUUGCUUUGUCCUGCUUUCUUUGGUAUAGUCGACCAUUCUUGUCUUUCAAUAAGGGGCCAGUCAUCGUCAGUACGGCUUCUUUUGUCACUACAGUGUAAUCUUCGUUCUGGAUUAUGCAUGAAAUAUCUUCAAAAGUCAAUUUGCCAUUAGCUUCAGCAACUUCUGUGAAGCAACGAAAUUCUAGGGCACCAACCAAACGAUCUGCUUUACACUUUCCACAGAAACACCUGCGCUAAAUACAACAAUAAAAUAUUUGAUGUGUCUGGGUAAUACAGUAAUUUCAGUCCGGAAAGAGCCUAAACUUAGAAGGACAGUUUUAUUUUGAAAAACAAGAAGAGAACUCCUCUGAAACGAAAUAAUUAGGUAUAAAAUAGCAAAAUGUAAUAGCACAUACCAGUCUUUCACAAUCAUUCCUUGUUCCUGCCUGGCAGCCAAAAUGGCGUGAAGAAUCCCAUCUUUAUCUUCUUCAAAAUGAAAUGUUGGUUGCACAGCAAUAGAAAGUCAAUAGAAAGUGGCUCGUCUUGAUAUGGUGUAAAACCUUGCAGCCUCACAACAGCGUAAUCUUCUUCACCAAUAGAACUGCUAGCGUUGCCUCGUCUCAAGCCUGCUGCUUGCUAAUACUUGUUACAUCACGACCAACAAGGAGCCACAUUAAAAAAAACACCUCUGCUAUUAAAUUAUAAAAAACAAGGAAAAAUACCUAAAGCUGAUCAUUUCUGACCAGGAUAGAAUCAAAGUGAUCAGAAAAGACAACAUUUUUAUAAUUUGUAAAAAUGUAAUUUACAAUUUUAUAUUGCAUAAACACUUUAAAUAACAAGAGAACUCACCCCCAUUAAAAGAUAGUCCAUUGUCAACCGUUACUCCAAAUGGUAUACCAUGGACAGCAAAAUUAUUAUCCAACUUGGGAAUAACUACAGAACUCUUGGUUGAGCCAGCAAUUUCAACCUCCGGAUAUUGGCUUUACCUGUCUUCAACAACCAGAAGUAAAUUGCCAGAUGGAAGUGGACUGAAAAAAUCGAUGUUAAUCUUGUGCCAAGCUGCACUUGGUAUUUUUAUCAUGUGAAGGGGUUUAGGAGGGUUGUGCCUCCCAACCACUUGAAAAGGUAGACUUUUAUGAAAGUCUC